AUGUAAAGCAAACGUUCUCAUAGUUGUAUGGCAGCUGUGGCUAAGUCAGAAUGUUCAUUUACAGUGACAGGCCCACGUGUUGUGUUCUGGAAGAGGACGGAUGACUCUUCACUGGCUCAGUGGAAGGCAGCAGAGGGAAAAAGGAGGCUGCACCGUGUGGCAUGCGGGAUCUUAGUUCCCUGACCAGAGA